AUUGAACGCUGGCGGAAUGCUUUACACAUGCAAGUCGAACGGCAGCACGGGGGCAACCCUGGCGGCGAGCGGCGAACGGGUGAGUAAUACAUCGGAACGUACCCAGGAGUGGGGGAUAGCCCGGCGAAAGCCGGAUUAAUACCGCAUACGAUCUUAGGAUGAAAGUGGGGGACCGCAAGGCCUCACGCUUUUGGAGCGGCCGAUGUCCGAUUAGCUAGUUGGUGGGGUAAAGGCCUACCAAGGCGACGAUCGGUAGCUGGUCUGAGAGGAUGAUCAGCCACACUGGGACUGAGACACGGCCCAGACUCCUACGGGAGGCAGCAGUGGGGAAUUUUGGACAAUGGGGGGAACCCUGAUCCAGCCAUGCCGCGUGCGGGAAGAAGGCC
rnacentral:rRNA from 1 species